rnacentral:tRNA from 1 species
GGGUAGGUAGCUCAGUUGGUAGAGCAACGGACUGAAAAUCCGUGUGUCGGCGGUUCGAUCCCGCCCCUGCCCA